rfam:Triticum urartu cultivar G1812 contig1204638, whole genome shotgun sequence.
CUUUCCCUAGUACGAGAGGACCGGGAAGGACGCACCUCCGGUGUACCAGUUAUCGUGCCUAUGGUAAACGCUGGGUAGCCAAGUGCGA